rnacentral:snRNA from 1 species
GAGCUUACUUUGGCAGCACAUAUACUAAAAAAUUGGAACGAUACAGAGAAGCUUAGCAUGGCCCCUGCACAAGGAUGACAUGCAAAUUCGUGAAGUGUCUCACACUGUG